UACGUAGGGGGCGAGCGUUGUCCGGAAUUACUGGGCGUAAAGGGUGCGCAGGCGGCCGAUUAAGUUGGAUGUGAAAUACCCGGGCUUAACUUGGGGGGUGCAUUCAAAACUGGUUGGCUAGAGUGCAGGAGAGGGAAGCGGAAUUCCUAGUGUAGCGGUGAAAUGCGUAGAUAUUAGGAGGAACACCAGUGGCGAAGGCGGCUUUCUGGACUGUAACUGACGCUGAGGCACGAAAGCGUGGGGAGCAAACAGGAUUAGAUACCCUGGUAGUCCACGCUGUAAACGAUGAAUACUAGGUGUAGGGGGUAUGAACUCCCCCUGUGCCGGAGCAAACGCAAUAAGUAUUCCGCCUGGGGAGUACGGCCGCAAGGUUGAA
rnacentral:rRNA from 1 species